rnacentral:rRNA from 1 species
GAUGAACGCUAGCGACAGGCCUAACACAUGCAAGUCGAGGGGCAACAGGGAACAAGCUUGCUUGUUCUGCUGGCGACCGGCGCACGGGUGAGUAACACGUAUGCAACCUGCCCGUCACAGGGGGAUAACCGGGGGAAACCCCGCCUAAUACCCCAUAUUAUAUAGUUAUUGCAUGAUGAUUAUAUGAAAACCUUGGUGGUGACGGAUGGGCAUGCGGUGCAUUAGCUAGUUGGUGAGGUAACGGCUCACCAAGGCGACGAUGCAUAGGGGUUCUGAGAGGAAGGUCCCCCACACUGGUACUGAGACACGGACCAGACCCCUACGGGAGGCAGCAGUGAGGAAUAUUGGUCAAUGGUCGAGAGACUGAACCAGCCAAGUCGCGUGAGGGAAGACUGCCCUAUGGGUUGUAAACCUCUUUAGUCGGGGAGCAAAAAAGCGGACGUGUCCGCCAUUGAGCGUACCCGAAGAAUAAGCAUCGGCUAACUCCGUGCCAGCCGCCGCUGUAAGAC